rnacentral:rRNA from 1 species
GGGCUUGGGGGCUUGCUCCCAGGUUAGUGGCGAACGGGUGAGUAAUAUAUCGGAACAUAUCCGGAAGUGGGGGAUAACGUAGCGAAAGUUACGCUAAUACCGCAUAUGCCCUGAGGGGGAAAGGGGGGGAUCGCAAGACCUCUCGCUUUCGGAGUGGCCGAUACCGGGUUAGCUAGAUGGUGAGGUAAAGGCUCACCAUGGCGACGAUCCGUAGCGGGUCUGAGAGGACGACCCGCCACACUGGAACUGAGACACGGUCCAGACUCCUACGGGAGGCAGCAGUGGGGAAUUUUGGACAAUGGGCGCAAGCCUGAUCCAGCCAUACCGCGUGAGUGAAGAAGGCCUUCGGGUUGUAAAGCUCUUUCAGCCGGAAAGAAAUUGCUUCUAUUAAUACUAGGAGUAGAUGACGGUACCGGAAGAAGAAGCACCGGCUAACUACGUGCCAGCAGCCGCGGUAAUACGUAGGGUGCGAGCGUUAAUCGGAAUUACUGGGCGUAAAGCGUGCGCAGGCGGUUUGGUAAGACAGAUGUGAAAUCCCCGGGCUUAACCUGGGAACUGCAUUUGUGACUGCCAGACUAGAGUGUAGCAGAGGGGGGUAGAAUUCCACGUGUAGCAGUGAAAUGCGUAGAGAUGUGGAGGAAUACCGAUGGCGAAGGCAGCCCCCUGGGCUAACACUGACGCUCAUGCACGAAAGCGUGGGGAGCAAACAGGAUUAGAUACCCUGGUAGUCCACGCCCUAAACGAUGUCAACUAGGUGUUGGGGAAGGAGACUUCUUUAGUACCGCAGCUAACGCGUGAA